rnacentral:rRNA from 1 species
UACGGGGGGAGCAAGCGUUGCUCGGAUUUACUGGGCGUAAAGGGCGCGUAGGCGGCCACCGCAAGUCAGUUGUGAAAGCUCUGGGCUUAACCCAGAAAGGUCAACUGAUACUGCGGGGCUAGAGUGCAGAAGGGGCAACUGGAAUUCUCGGUGUAGCGGUGAAAUGCGUAGAUAUCGAGAGGAACACCUGCGGCGAAGGCGGGUUGCUGGGCUGACACUGACGCUGAAGUGCGAAAGCUAGGGGAGCGAACGGG